GGCAGAACGGCAGAGCACUGCGCUCCCUCGGCGGCGGAGAGCCCCUGCCCCUGCCCCGGAGCCUGGCGAAGGAUGUGCUACGGGAAGCUGGAACAUCAACUCCAUCGGGUCCUAAAAAAGGGAGAUGUUGGUCUUGCCAGGAGGUCAUGCUGGAGAGGAGGGUAAGGGAGUUGACCUCUGGAUGGAAUUGCACUGCCGACUCCUCUCAUUUCCUCGUGUCCUCUACUCACACACCUCCUGCUGGUGGCUGCCUUUCAGAGCUGUUUGUGGAAGAGGAAGGUGUAGGAGGUCUGAGGGAUCCUACAGGAAGGCGACAUGGAAUCCUCACUCACUCUGAGCACUGACCGUGAAUCUUAACACGCCGUCUAUAUAGUGUUUUAUUCAAUCUUUAUAACUGCACUAUUAAUGCAGGUACUGUUGUUUUCCCCAUUUCUGCAGAUGAGAAAACUGAGGCUCCGGGACUUAAAUCCCUUACCCAAGGCUGUACAGCUAUUAAGUAUCAGAGCUGAGGCUUUAAAUCAGACCAUUCCCACAGCAGAACUCACGUUAACAUCUAGGUCAUACAGCCCCUAGCUAGAGGGGAGAGGGAAGCAAGGGCUUGUAAUUUCCCUGUUCUCUUACUCCACUGAGGCCAAGGGUUCAGCAGCCAACCGAGGCCCACGCAGUUCUCCAGGGACUCGGGCCACCAGAUGAACAGAUCUCGGUCCCCAGGAUCUCUGCACUUCCCCUCCUUCCUCAAAAUCUCAGGCCAAAGUUGAGAAGGGUGUUUUGAAUUAUAGUAAAACUUCAACUCCACAGAAGGUUCUAGUGGUGUUCUGAGUAUUCUGAUGGUUAGUGACUGCUGACACUCCUUUUGUUCCAACUCCUCAUUUGGAAAAUAGUUUUAACAUUUAAAGGUAAACUUUGCUAUAGUGAUAAAUAAAUCAAGGGCUCCUACUUUGGGGAGCAAAGCUACUUUGCAUUUCCCCAAACUUUGUGAUCAGUGGAAAAAGGUUUCUUCUGCAGUUAAGAACUCCGGGUUGCCACUGGAGGACACGCCAGGCUGUCACUUGUACCCUCAGGUCUUCACUCCACUCUGGACGCUUGGGGGAAGACAGCAGACCUACUGUGUCUUUUCCUGGAGGCAAAGGAUCUUACAGAGCUUCAAGGUCACCAUAGAGGAUAUCUACCAGAUAGAUGCAGAUGUGUCAAAAUUUGCCCUCAGUGUAUAUGCUGCUAGUUUUCUUUGUAUCUGUGAAGCACAAUAAAGCAGGCAAAGGAGGUAUGCUUGUAGUUAUGUGCAGGACGUGGAAGGGCCAUAUUCCUUGGAGGUUUGCCAGCAGCACCGUGGUCCCGAGACAGCUGGUGCCCCCCGGGUGUGGGGGCAGGGCGUGGAAGCCGCUGUGUCCUUCACAGCUCACUCGCGGUCACCACGCUGCAUGCUCGCAAAGCAGAAGACCGUUGCAGAGUCCUUGAAGCAGACUAUUUCGUUUACUCUGACAAGGAUUAAAGACGAGGGAUCCAGGAAAACUGAACUUGCGGUCAACCACGCAGAAGCUGAAUUUAGGAGCAGGUACUCUUCGAAUGGAAGUGGUAUGUCCGGGGCACGCCAGGCGUAUGAGGAACUGAUUUCACUCAGUGACAGAAGACAAGAGCAUGGCAAAAUUAUGAGAACACUGGAUUUCUAAUGAGAAGACCCGGAUUCAAGGCCAGCUCUGCCAAACACUUCCUGCCAGCCCUGGACAGGUCACUCACUCUCUCCCUGUGCUUCAGUGUUGUCCUCUGUGAAAAUGGAAAUAGUAUGUGGAAAAUGUCUCUGACCGUUUUAAAGUGCUUGCCCAGCUCUUCAAGAGCCCUAAGACCUAUUCCCAAUUCCCAAAUCCUGUGGAAUUCGGGCAAGUUAUUCCCCUUUCUUAGGGCCUCAGUUCCUUGUGGAUAACAUGGGGAUAUCGGAUUCAUUUUCAUAGCCAACUCUAGCUGUGAAAGUCCGUAAUACUCUAUGGGCUCCAUCAGAUGCACUGAAAUUAGGUGCGAGCAACGUUCCAAUUGAGAGAAGAUGUGAUGUGGUUAAGGAAGAGGUCUCUGUACCAUCGUUUUGAUUCCCACUGUAAGGGAACCCGAGGCCUGGGGAGCUUCUGCCUCUACACAUAAGCAGGCAAAAUGGAGCCGGGUAAGCCGGGCGGCUGGGCAGGAAAAGGGGAGCUGGUUCCAUCAGUGAGGGCUCUGUGGCUCCAGAAAGGAAGGGACAAGUCAGUGGUGAAGCUGAGGCCAGGCCAGAGGAAGGGGUAGGGGCUGGGGGCAGGGCAGACAAAGUAAUGGGACUGUUUAUCUGUGACCCAAAUAAGGUGUCCUUGGGAUGUGGGGUGCGGGUGUAGAGACUUAGAUAGACAUGCAGGUCUGCUACUUUGAACCAGGUCCAGGAACUCAUUUGUUUCUCUCUUGUUCAGAAAUCCUGCCCCCAACACUGUACACCUGACUCAAAGCAGGUAACAAAAUUAAAGGUUGCACCUCAGGGCCUUUGCACUUGAUGCCUCCCCCACCCUUGGCCCCUGCCCUACCCCCAUGCAAAUCUCUCCUUCCCUCACAGAAUCCUCAAAAAGCACUUUGACAGAGACAUCCUCCCUACAUUAUUCGCCUUAUCUGGAGCUGCCACCCACCCCUCAGGCCCUCUGCCUGACCUGGUUGUUUUCUUAGCCCUAGUUCUACAGGAAAUUGUUUCCUUUGUUUAUAUGACUGCUUGUUAAUACCCUGGAGCUCCCCCAUAGUUACUGGAAGCUUCCUGCAGGCAGAGGGCUCAGGUGUUUGUACCCAGAGCACCUGCGCAAAGCUUGCAGUGGGGGACUCCUCAUAAAUAUCUGUUGGAAGAGCAGGAAAACAUUCAGCAAUCUGCAGCUUUUUCUUUUUUCUCUUCCCAGGAAGACCUUUUAAACAAACAGCCCGUUCUUGAGCCUACAGGAUUCAGGUCCAAGGGGAGUGUGUCCCGCAGGCUCCAGGCUGGCUGUGGAGCUGCAGUUAUUUUUAUUUUUACCAAGCCCACUUCCAGAAGGAGGCUCAGCACCAAACCCGGUACUUGCCCAUCCUCUUCCGUUUUGUAAAGAGACCAACUCACUGAGAUGACAGAGUCGAGUCGAGACGUGGAUUCAGGUCCCGCUGCUGGUGCACCUGCCUCCGGGUACUAACCUUCUUCCAGGGAAGCUGGGCUUGCUGGCUCCCCGUGGCCGCUGCCCCCGUGCGGGGAUCACAGGGCACCGCCCACAGAGGGUGUUGGAAAUCACGGUCUCCACCGCGGCAGCGGGAUGAGGAGAGGCACCUUGGUGCAAAGUUUCGGGAGGCAUCACUCGUGGGGCAUCUGCACAGUUACGAGCGACUCCUUGUUAUAUUUUGCACCUUCGGCACUGCUCCCGCCUCACCUUGUCCUGGUCCUGCACGUUGCUGUUUUCUGCCAGCUCUCUGUCCUUCUCUGUCACGUCAUAGGACACUUCUUUGUCUAGAAUUACCACAAUAAUUAGAGAGUAGACUGAGCUUGGGGAGCAUUUGACGCACUCCACCAACUUGCUUCUCGCUACGUCUUGGCAGCCUCUCCUCCAAACGGCCACUAGAAUUGUUUUUCAGACGGACAGAUCUGUAAGGUACCAUUCUGCCUCCUGGACACUGUCAGGCUUACACAGCUUUGGACAGGCUGAGCCUCCUGCCCAGGGUACCCUGCCCUUUGGGCCCAAGUCAUUUACCCUUCAAAGCCUGACUCAAGGUCACCCAUGCUCAAGAUGGCUCCAAAACUGGAGCAAAGCCGAUGUGAACCCAGGUCAUCGCGGGCGGCUGGGCAGGUGGUCGGGGCAGCCUGACCUGGGAAUUUGCAGACGGUGGGGACCUAGCAAGCCGGCUAGCCAGAGCGUCCCAGCAGUUCCUUCCCCACAAGCCCUGCACCAAAGGGGUGGGAGUGGGGAGGGUCACCUUUGGUUCCCAGCCUGGGACCACGUGACACCAGUCUUUGAACGAACUUGUUCAUAUUUCCCUGUGACAACAUGGAUCCGAGUUGUGGGUAAUGAAGCGAACCCAGGUUGCCAGGAACCUCCCCACUCACCGGGGCCUGUUUUUAGACUUUGCACCCUGGCCUCGGGCUUUUCCCCAGGUGCCACUCAGAGAUGUGUGACAGGUCUGUGGAGUCAGGGCACGGGCUCUGAGCAGCCCAGCCUCCUGCCUGGCCCCCUCCGGCCCCCUGCUUGCCUCAGUGCCCACUGUUUGCUCUCCUUUCUCCUCCGUGUCUUACUCCCCCGUCCUCACUGCUUGAUCUUGAGAAGCAAAGUCAGCCUGACAUUUUGCCCAGCCUCCCCAGGGACCUCGGAUCCGAGCUCUUUAUUCCUGUAAAGAAACUCAGCGCCUGUGUUGGUUUGGGUGAGGCUUGGGGAGGAAAGAGUUUCACGCGUGCUGUGAUGAUACACCUACAGUGGCAACAAAUGACGAUGGCGUCCACGUUGGCACGUACGACAUAGUAACUGUGUGAGUGAUCUCUCAUGCUUUUUCUUGUUUAACCUCCUAGGGUUAAAUGAUGUUUAAAGAUGUUUCUUAUCAUACCCAUGUCCAAAUGAGAAGUUUAG